GACGAACGCUGGUGGCGUGCCUAAUACAAGCAAGUCGAGCGAACUUGCGGGAGCUUGCUCCCAAAAGUUAGCGGCGGACGGGUGAGUAACACGUGGGCAACCUGCCUAUAAGACUGGGAUAACUUCGGGAAACCGGAGCUAAUACCGGAUAAUUCUUUUCUACUCAUGUAGGAAAGCUGAAAGAUGGUUUCGGCUAUCACUUAUAGAUGGGCCCGCGGCGCAUUAGCUAGUUGGUGAGGUAACGGCUCACCAAGGCGACGAUGCGUAGCCGCCAGGAGAGGGUGAUCGGCCACACUGGGACAGAGACACGGCCCAGACUCUUACGGGAGGCAGCAGUAGUGAAUCUUCCGCAAUGGACGAAAGUCUGACGGAGCAACGCCGCGGGAGUGAUGAAGGUUUUCGGAUCGUAAAACUCUGUUGUUAGGGAAGAACAAGUACUAGAGUAACUGCUAGUACCUUGACGGUACCUAACCAGAAAGCCACGGCUAACUACGUGCCAGCCGCCGCCGUAAAAC
rnacentral:rRNA from 1 species